rnacentral:lncRNA from 1 species
GGGCCAGGCUGCUGCUGGAGAGGGGACGGGCCCCAUGUGGCUGAUGGAGUGCAGGGGGAUGGAGCUGUCUCUGCAGGACUGCUGGGCCCAGCCAGGGGACAGCGGUGCCUGCCAGCAUAAGGCAGAUGCAGCUGUGCAUUGCUCAGCUGCACCCAGGACAGCAACAUCCCCCCCACAAGCAGGUAAGCUGUCCUUCCCCUGGGGCUGGGUCUGAACAUGGCCACGCUGUGACCCACAGCCAGGGGAAGGGGCUCCCUGUUGGGCUGUGAGACUCACAGAAAACCAAAGCAGCUGGGAGAAGUCUGUGAUGGACCCAGUAGGGUGGGAGCUGCCCCAUCACCCAGCCCUGUCCCUCCCAGCCCCUGCUGCCUUGUGUGGUCAGGAGUGGCAUGUCCUGACCCAAACUCUCCCUUGUCUGAUGCUGCCCCUGCCAUGUUCCUGCCCAUGCAGAUCCCCCACGGGGCCGUCCAACCACCAGCAGCGAGGGACUCUCAGUGCCUGUCGUCAUCUGCAUCAUCCUGGGGGCCCUCCUCUGCCUGCUCCUGGCCCUCCUGGCUGGGCAGGUGCGAAGUGCCAGGGCUCGGCGCAGAGGCUCCGGGAGAGCUGGGGAGCCCUUCCCUGAGGCCGUGUACGAGGAGAUCGCUUACAGCCUGGCGUGGGAGAAGCAGCCGAGGUUCAGUCUCUCAGGUGGGUGCAGGUAACCUGCAGGGGCACAUCAGCU